rnacentral:rRNA from 1 species
GAUGAACGCUGACAGAAUGCUUAACACAUGCAAGUCGAUGGGGAAGUGGUGCUUGCCCCAUGGCAACCAUGGCGGACGGGUGAGUAACGCGUAAGGGACUUACCUGCAGGACUGGGAUAACAGGGGGAAACUCCUGACAAGACCGGAUAAUGUCAUGGAGCUGCAUGGCUUUAUGAUGAAAGGAGACGCCUGCGGAGAGCCUUGCGUCCUAUUAGCUAGUUGGUGAGGUAAUGGCUCACCAAGGCGAAGAUAGGUAGCCGGCCUGAGAGGGUGGACGGCCACAAGGGGACUGAGAUACGGCCCUUACUCCUACGGGAGGCAGCAGUGGGGAAUAUUGGACAAUGGGGGCAACCCUGAUCCAGCAAUUCUGUGUGCACGAAGAAGGUUUUCGGACUGUAAAGUGCUUUCAGCAGGGAAGAAGUAAGUGACGGUACCUGCAGAAGAAGCGACGGCUAAAUACGUG